rnacentral:tRNA from 2 species
GCGCCCGUAGCUCAGCCGGAUAGAGCGCCGGACUUCGAAUCCGUAGGCCGCAGGUUCGAAUCCUGCCGGGCGCGCCA